UAAAUUUUAAGCAGCUUUUAAAAAAUGAUACUAAAGGAAGUAUAUGAUUAUAAAAGAAACACAAAAUGUUGAAAUAUCCGAAGCUAUACACGGAGGCUGUGUGGAAAAACGAAGUCCUGCUCUCACCCAGCCCAGCCCACUCCAGAGGUCCCAGAAAGUAUUUAGGAAAAUCCAUCCUAAAAUUCAUAUGGAAUCCCAAGGGGCCACAAUAGCCAAAACCUUGAAAAAGAACAAAGUUAGAGGUUUCAUACUUCUUGAUUUUAAAGGUUGCUUUAGAAGCAAGCUGCUUAAAAUGCAAUGGACAUGGGCCCACAAGGACACUGCUACUGAGGGGUGAAUGGUGGAGCAGAUGGACACUCCACCUUGCUCAGUGUCUAGACUUGAAAAAAGAAGACCUCCAUAGACCACAAUGAAGUAGGGCAGUUGUGAGAAGAAAAAACAAACAAAACAAACAAACAAACAGGCUGAGUCCUUAACGUUUAUAAUCAGGAGAAAAUACAAGAUACUCAUCAAAGGCUGACAAGGGGCACAGGGACUCACAAGUUGAAAAUGCAUAAAUAUUCAGGCAACAGGGGAGAAUUCUUUAGCACCCCUUAAUCAGAUUACUCUCAUCUUGCCUAUUUAUCAAGUAUAUUCCCAGGUCACCUCCAAAGUUUCAUAUGGACUACAUCCUUAGAUAAAUGUUUGUUUUCUGAUCUCUUCAGACAAGAAAACAACUCAUGGAGAAUUGAAGUAAUAGGCACUGAAGCCAAUUGUUUGUCCAUCCCUCAGCCAGGAAUGAAACUCAGGAUUGCUAGCUUUUGAAUCUCUGUCCCUUUGACUUCUCCUCUGUUCCCACAGCUCUCUUCUGCCAUCACUGAGGGAAAAUAAGUUCACAAUGUAACAAGACGUGACAAAAAACUUUCCAGAGGAGAGAGCAUUUUGGAGGACAGUUGUGGACUUUGAGUAUUCUCUCAGUUUGAAUGAUGUAGUACAACUCUCUCUAAAAGAGGGAAGCAAAUGCUGGGCAUCUCAGAGAUGCAGGUCAGCAUAGCUUUUCUAAAUUCAUAAAAUUAAUUUGCUUUUAGGAAAAUCAAAGGACAGAAAAUCAAAGCAAAAAUUUCUUUAAGGCUUUAGCAAACUAUGGGUCAUAGGCCACUGGCUUUUAUAAAUAGUUUUAUUGGAACACAACCACAGUCAUUUGUUUUGUAUUAUCUAUGGCCACUUCAUACUAUAAUGACAGAGAAGUUAGGACAGAAACCAUGUGACUUGGAAGCCUAAGAUAUGUAUGUCACAGAAAACAGUUUGCUGACCUCUGUCUAAACUCACCAUUUCAGUCUUCUUGCCUAGUUAUGAUCCAGUGUGGCCCAUCAAAGGUAAUGAAGAGGUCUCAAAGGAAGUUUCCUCAGUAUUUUGCUACAGACAUCCCAGCCUUAAUUUUUUUUCCUGGCCUCCCCUAUAUUGCCCUUUUACUCACUAUAUCUCCAGCUAUGGUUUUCCCAUUUCUAAAAGAGAAUACAUGUAGAACCUUCUUCACUGGAUUACUGUGAGAAUUAAAGGAGAUGGGAUGAAGCACUCCAUGUAGCACUUGACACACUGUAAACAUUUAGUAAAUGGUGGCUAGGAUUCAAAUCCAUCCAUGCGUUUAGUGCAUAUUUAUUGAGUUUGUUAUGGAUUGAAUUGUGUCCUCUCCCCAAAUCCAUGUGUUGAAUUAUUAACCCCCAUUCCUCAGAACAUGACCUUUGAGAUAGGUAUUUUUUUACAAUGGUAACCAAAUUAAAAUGAGGUCAUUAGGGUGGCCCCUAAUCUAAUAUGACUGGUGUCCUUAUAAGAAGAAGAUAUGUAGAUACAGACACAAAGGGAAGACAAUGUGAAGACACAGGGAUAAAAUGGCCAUCUACAAGCCAAGGAGAGAGGCCUGGAGCAGCUCUUUCUUUCAUAGCCCUUGGAAGUAACCAACCCUGCUGACACUUUGAUCUUGGACUUCUAGCUUUCAGAACUAUGAGACAAUAAAUUUCUGUUGUUUGAGUGCUGUGGACUGAAUAGGUACCCCACCCCCAAAUUCGUAUACUGAAACUCUAGUCCCUAAUGUGAUAGCAUUUGGAGAUGGGGUCUUUGGGAGAUAAUUAGGUCCUAAGAGUAAAGCCUCCAUGGUGAUAUUAGUGCCCUUAGAAGAGAUGCAAAAGAAUUUGCUUCCUUUCUCUCUCCCUCCAAUGUGAGGACACAACAAGAAGGUGUCUAUCUGCAAGCCAGGAAGAGGGUUCUCACCAGGAAUCAAACCAGUAGGCAUUUUAAUAUUGGAUUUUCCAGCCACCAAAGUUGUGAGAAAUAAAUUUCAGUAAUGCAUGCCAUCCAGUCUAUGGUAUUUUUGUUACAGCAGCCUGAAGGAAGAUACUGAGCUACCUGAUUUUGAUCCUUAGUUAUAGCAGCCGUAGAAAGUGAAUGUAGAUUUCAAUAAGAAAAACAGACAGUUAUAGUAAAAUAAGAGGUGCUACUUUGGAUUAGUAACUCUUCUCUGGGGUAUUUGUAUUGUGACCUCAAUAGUUACAAGGAGCAAACCAUAUGAAAAUCUGGGGAAAACUCUUUCCAGCUGGAGAAAUACGUGCAAAGGCCCUGGAGCAGGGGUGAGCUUAUUGUUACAGCUUCUAGCUCUUCUACCUUUUUCUUACCUUGAAC